CCUACGGGGGGCAGCAGUGGGGAAUAUUGCACAAUGGGCGCAAGCCUGAUGCAGCCAUGCCGCGUGUGUGAAGAAGGCCUUCGGGUUGUAAAGCACUUUCAGCGGGGAGGAAGGCGGUGAGGUUAAUAACCUCAUCGAUUGACGUUACCCGCAGAAGAAGCGCCGGCUAACUCCGUGCCAGCAGCCGCGGUAAUACGGAGGGUGCAAGCGUUAAUCGGAAUUACUGGGCGUAAAGCGCACGCAGGCGGUCUGUCAAGUCGGAUGUGAAAUCCCCGGGCUCAACCUGGGAACUGCAUUCGAAACUGGCAGGCUAGAGUCUUGUAGAGGGGGGUAGAAUUCCAGGUGUAGCGGUGAAAUGCGUAGAGAUCUGGAGGAAUACCGGUGGCGAAGGCGGCCCCCUGGACAAAGAGUGACGCUCAGGUGCGAAAGCGUGGGGAGCAAACAGGAUUAGAUACCCGUGUAGUC
rnacentral:rRNA from 1 species